rnacentral:miRNA from 1 species
AUUAUGUGUAUGAAACUUUAGUU